rnacentral:rRNA from 1 species
GACGAACGCUGGCGGCGUGCUUAACACAUGCAAGUCGAGCGGAAAGGCCCCUCCGGUGGUGCUUGCGCGGCGGGCGAACGGGUAAGUAACACGUGAGUAGCCUGCCCUUUAGGUUGGGAUAACGGCAGGGAACUUGAGCUAAGACCGGGUAGGUACGCCGCCUGCAGGGUGGUGGUUGGAUAGUUGCGGCGGGUGGGGAUGGACUCGCGGCUUAUCAGCUUGUUGGUGGGGUAGUGGCUUACCAUGGCUUUGACGGGUAGCCGGCCUGAGAGGGUGACCGGUCACAUUGGGACUGAGAUACGGCCCAGACUCCUACGGGAGGCAGCAGUGGGGAAUAUUGCACAAUGGGCGGAAGCCUGAUGCAGCAACGCCGCGUGCGGGAUGACGGCCUUCGGGUUGUAAACCGCUUUCGCCUGUGACGAAGCGUGAGUGACGGUAAUGAGUAAAGAAGCACCGGCUAACUACGUG